AAAAAAGGAGAGGAAAAAAGCAUAACUAUAAGCUUUCACUAGUUCAACUUCUGAACUAGGCAUAAUUCAAUUAUGAAACCUUUCCCAUAAAUAAUGACUACAAAUAUAUGAAUAUCUUAAUGGAGUUUGGUGGGUGAAACUGAACUGGGAAAUGAUUGAAGGGCCAGAGGCAGCAAGAAGAGAAAAAGAGAGAGAAGAUGGUUCCUCCAAGAAAAAGUCAGGUAAGAGCGAGUCUGGGAGAGAAGACCCCGAUUGCAGCAGUUUAUCCCAUGAACAAAACAGGUGUCCAAAUCUCAGAGAGUUGGAGAAUCUCUGAGACAAAAAAAAAUUAAUGAAAACUGAUGACUGAUGCGUGAUCAUCGUCUUAACGUAUUCUUUUAUGGCGGCCUGCUUCCCCCUUCCUUCCUCAGAAGAUCGUACUACUCUUUUUCUCUCCUGCUUUUUCUGUUUUUUCUUCUUCUCCAGCUAUGCUUUUGUAUAUAUAUAUAUAUAUUGGCUAUGGAGGAAAAUGAUCAUUCAGUCAAAAUCAAAGUUGUUCAGUACUCUUUCUUUGCUCUUAAUUAAUUUUUGUAGCUUCAAAUUCAAUGUCUAUGAAUGUGAUGGACUGUUAACAUCUCAAACUUUUAAUACUUUGGCUCAGUGAAGUCCAAAGCGACAGCAUCUUGUUCUUGUUGAUCUCUCUGAUGUUUUAUAUGUUUAUCCCUUAAGUACAGUUUCAUAAAAAUACAAGAAUUUCUUGUUAAAGACAGAAACGUUACAUGAUAGUACUUUUUACGUUACAUUUAAGAACCAAUUGCUUAACAGACGAUCUACACUUCCGCAGGAAAUCAUCCAUUGAUGGAGCAAGCAAAGCCAGUCAUUUUCACUCGAGACAGUGGCCAG
rnacentral:lncRNA from 1 species